AGUGAACGCUGGCGGUAGGCCUAACACAUGCAAGUCGAACGGCAGCACAGUAAGAGCUUGCUCUUACGGGUGGCGAGUGGCGGACGGGUGAGGAAUACAUCGGAAUCUACUUUUUCGUGGGGGAUAACGUAGGGAAACUUACGCUAAUACCGCAUACGACCUACGGGUGAAAGCAGGGGAUCUUCGGACCUUGCGCGAUUGAAUGAGCCGAUGUCGGAUUAGCUAGUUGGCGGGGUAAAGGCCCACCAAGGCGACGAUCCGUAGCUGGUCUGAGAGGAUGAUCAGCCACACUGGAACUGAGACACGGUCCAGACUCCUACGGGAGGCAGCAGAGGGGAAUAUUGGACAAGGGGCGCAAGCCUAAUGCAGCCAUACCGCGUGGGUGAAGAAGGCCUUCGGGUGGUAAAGCCCUUUUGUUGGGAAAGAAAAGCAGCAGGUUAAUACCCCGCUGUUCUGACGGUACCCAAAGGAUAAGCACCGGCUAACUUCGU
rnacentral:rRNA from 1 species